AGAGUUUGAUCAUGGCUCAGAUUGAACGCUGGCGGCAGGCCUAACACAUGCAAGUCGAACGGUAACAGGAAGCAGCUUGCUGCUUUGCUGACGAGUGGCGGACGGGUGAGUAAUGUCUGGGAAACUGCCUGAUGGAGGGGGAUAACUACUGGAAACGGUAGCUAAUACCGCAUAACGUCGCAAGACCAAAGAGGGGGACCUUCGGGCCUCUUGCCAUCGGAUGUGCCCAGAUGGGAUUAGCUUGUUGGUGGGGUAACGGCUCACCAAGGCGACGAUCCCUAGCUGGUCUGAGAGGAUGACCAGCCACACUGGAACUGAGACACGGUCCAGACUCCUACGGGAGGCAGCAGUGGGGAAUAUUGCACAAUGGGCGCAAGCCUGAUGCAGCCAUGCCGCGUGUAUGAAGAAGGCCUUCGGGUUGUAAAGUACUUUCAGCGGGGAGGAAGGGAGUAAAGUUAAUACCUUUGCUCAUUGACGUUACCCGCAGAAGAAGCACCGGCUAACUCCGUGCCAGCAGCCGCGGUAAUACGGAGGGUGCAAGCGUUAAUCGGAAUUACUGGGCGUAAAGCGCACGCAGGCGGUUUGUUAAGUCAGAUGUGAAAUCCCCGGGCUCAACCUGGGAACUGCAUCUGAUACUGGCAAGCUUGAGUCUCGUAGAGGGGGGUAGAAUUCCAGGUGUAGCGGUGAAAUGCGUAGAGAUCUGGAGGAAUACCGGUGGCGAAGGCGGCCCCCUGGACGAAGACUGACGCUCAGGUGCGAAAGCGUGGGGAGCAAACAGGAUUAGAUACCCUGGUAGUCCACGCCGUAAACGAUGUCGACUUGGAGGUUGUGCCCUUGAGGCGUGGCUUCCGGAGCUAACGCGUUAAGUCGACCGCCUGGGGAGUACGGCCGCAAGGUUAAAACUCAAAUGAAUUGACGGGGGCCCGCACAAGCGGUGGAGCAUGUGGUUUAAUUCGAUGCAACGCGAAGAACCUUACCUGGUCUUGACAUCCACGGAAGUUUUCAGAGAUGAGAAUGUGCCUUCGGGAACCGUGAGACAGGUGCUGCAUGGCUGUCGUCCUGUCUCUUAUACACAUCUCCGAGCCCACGAGACUAGGCAUGAUCUCGU
rnacentral:rRNA from 1 species